UACGAAGGGGGCUAGCGUUGUUCGGAAUUACUGGGCGUAAAGCGCGCGCAGGCGGCUAUCCAAGUCAGUGGUGAAAGCCCGGAGCUCAACUCCGGAACUGCCAUUGAAACUGUUUAGCUGGAGUAUGAGAGGGGUGAGUGGAAUUCCCAGUGUAGAGGUGAAAUUCGUAGAUAUUGGGAAGAACACCGGUGGCGAAGGCGGCUCACUGGCUCAUUACUGACGCUCAUGCGCGACAGCGUGGGGAUCAAGCAGG
rnacentral:rRNA from 1 species